UCAGUUGGCUGUACCGUACUAGGAUGACUCACAACUGUACUAUGUUCUUUCAAUGAAUCACCUGCUCGAGCUGUCAUGUGACCAUGAGGAAUAGUAUUAGUAAUGUCAACCAAAACCAGAAUAAUGUUUUCUAUGUAAUUUUCUAAGAGGUGGUUAAUAAAUGUGUGGGUUUCCAGUGUUGGGUAGGUUACUUUCUAAAUGUAAUCCGUUACAGUUACUAGUUUUACCUGUCCAACAUUACCCCAAACUCAGUAACGUAAUCGGAUUACAUUCAGUUACUUUAGAUGACUUUCCCUUUAACCCUUUCUCCUAUGCUGAGUCUGCUCCUACACACCUGGACAGCCAAUACAGAACCUUAGUGAUUCCUGUUCUUCCUCACUUCAUCUGACCUGACCUCUGCCCCAAAGUGCUCACUCCUCCCCAACUCACGGCUGUUAUGUUGUCUUGUACCAGACGGGUGUCUAUCCUCCUCUCAUAGGAUCCAUGACAAAAACAUAUCCUGACAUAAUGUAAUCAUGAUAAAUUCCCCUCUCUCCCUCAGUGACAGGAAUAAGUAUAUUUCAUGAUUUCAUAAGUCAAGAAAUCAGAACCUAACACUACUAUAUAUAAUAAUAGGAUUAAACAAACUUAAACUUGUGGCUCUUUUCAAUGCUGAUUUGAAUGUCAUUGAGAAAACAGAAGUGUCAAAGAUAUUUUUUCACAAACAUCUUUUCUGAAUUUAAAGUAAUCCUCAAAGUAAUAGUUUAAAAAAAAUCUAGUUUAAAAAAAAUAUCUGUAAUCUGAUUACAAUAUUUUUUUGCUGGUAAUGUAACAGAUUACAGUUACCGUUUAAAAAAAGAUCCCUUACAUGUAAUCCGUUACUCCCCAACCAUGUGUGUUUCUCCUCUGUGAAGGAUCUAUGAUGGGAGGCAGCCUGUUCUGUGUACCAUGUAGGUGUAUAUAUAGUGGUUAAAGCCAGGUAUGUUUCUCCUCUGUGAAGGAUCUAUGAUGGGAGGCAGUCUGUUCUGUGUACCAUGUAGAUGUAUAUAUAGUGGUUAAACCAGGUAUGUUUCUCCUCUGUGAAGGAUCUAUGAUGGGAGGCAGUCUGUUCUGUGUACCAUGUAGGUGUAUAUAGUGCAUUCGGAAAGUAUUCAGACCCCUUCACUUUUUCCACAUUUUGUUAUGUUACAGCCUUAUUCUAAAAUGGAUUAAAUCGUUUUCCCCUCUCAUCAAUCUACUCACAAUACCCCAUAAUGACAAAGCAAAAACAGAUUUUUAUACAUUUUUGCAAAUGUAUAAAAACCCCCCCAGAAAUAUCACAUUUACACUAUUAGUAUUCAGACCCUUUACGCAGCACUUUGUUGAUGCACUUUUGACAGCAAUUACAGCCUCAAGUCUUCUUGGGUAUGAUGCUACAAGCUUGGCACACCUGUAUUUGGGGAGUUUCUCCCAUUCUUCUCUGCAGAUCCUCUCAAGCCCUGUCAGGUUGAAUGGGGAGCGUCGCUGCACAGCUAUUUUCAGGUCUCUCCAGAGAUGUUCGAUUGGCCACUCUACCAUUAAAGGCCUGAUGGAUGGUGGGCUGCAGAGAUGGUUGUCCUUCU